CACAACUGGGUAACACACUGAUGCUAGAGAUGAGGUAGGACCAUGGUACUGUUAUUCUCUAGCAUUAGAGACUCCUCGAGGCAGUCUGCAUUGGUACAACUGUAUAUAGACUGAGUCAUAAGUUCUCGUACAGAAUCACUGGGAGCAGCUGCACUCAAACAUCAUAAAGCAACCAGAAAAGCAGAACUCAACUGAACAACUUGGACUUUGACACACUAUAUAGGAGCUGAUUGUGGACUACAGGAAAAGGCAUUAACAUUGACGGGGCUGUAGUGGAGCGGGUCGAGAGUUUCAAGUUCCUUGGCGUUCAUAUCACCAACGAACUAUCAUGGUGCAAACAUACCAAGACAGUCUUGAAGAGGGCAAGCCAUAAUCUUUCCCCCCUCAGGAGACUGAAAAGAUUUGGCCUGGGCCCCCAGAUCCUCAAA
rnacentral:lncRNA from 1 species